rnacentral:rRNA from 1 species
UACGUAGGGUGCCAGCGUUACUCGGAAUUACUGGGCGUAAAGCGUGCGCAGGCGGUUAUGUAAGACCGAUGUGAAAUCCCCGGGCUUAACCUGGGAACUGCAUUUGUGACUGCAAGGCUGGAGUGCGGCAGAGGGGGAUGGAAUUCCGCGUGUAGCAGUGAAAUGCGUAGAUAUGCGGAGGAACACCGAUGGCGAAGGCAAUCCCCUGGGCCUGCACUGACGCUCAUGCACGAAAGCGUGGGGAGCAAACAGG